CCUACGGGUGGCAGCAGUGAGGAAUAUUGGUCAAUGGACGAGAGUCUGAACCAGCCAAGUAGCGUGAAGGAUGACUGCCCUAUGGGUUGUAAACUUCUUUUAUAUGGGAAUAAAAUGUUCCACGUGUGGGAUUGUUUAUGUACCAUAUGAAUAAGGAUCGGCUAACUCCGUGCCAGCAGCCGCGGUAAUUCGGAGGAUCCGAGCGUUAGCCGGCUUUAUUGGGUUUAAAGGGAGCGUAGGUGGUGUGUUAAUUCAGUUGGGAAAGUUUGCGGCUCAACCGUAAAAUUGCAGUUGAAACUGGCGAUCUUGAGUACAGUAGAGGUAGGCGGAAUUCGUGGUGUAGCGGUGAAAUGCUUAGAUAUCACGAAGAACUCCGAUUGCGAAGGCAGCUCACUGGACUGCAACUGACACUGAGGCUCGAAAGUGUGGGUAUCAAACAGGAUUAGAUACCCCUGUAGUC
rnacentral:rRNA from 1 species